AGGGAGAGAGGGAGAGAGGGCGGGAGUGAAGGAGAGAGCGAGAGAGAGAGAGAGAGAGAGAGAGAGAGAGAGGACAAUACAAGUCAAUAAAAUAAAUACCAGCAUGGCACCAACUUAGUUUUGCCGCCCUCAUAUGAAAAUAGGUAACAGAAAUGUUCUACUUAAACAAUAGAUACAUCCAUAAUUUACAUCCUAUCCUAGAGUAGAGACAAGGAUUGAGGGUUCAAGUGAUUCCAAUUAUGUUUUAUACAGUACCUUAGAGCAGUGGUUCCCAACCAGGGGUACUAGGACCCCUGGGGGUCCUUGGCCUAUCCACAGGGGGUACUUGAGAAUACUCAUAAGACCAUAGGCCUACUGGUAAAAUACACAUGUGGGGGUACUCCAGGGGUACUCCGGGCAGAGCAAAAUUCAGUUGGUGGUACAUUAAACGAAAAAGGUUGGGAACCAGUGCCUUAAGAGUCUGCAUACAUAUAUGGACAAAACACAUGCUUCAAUAUGUUUUAUAAUGUUUUUAGUCAAUCAAAUGUAUGUAUAAAGCCCUUUUUACAUCA